GACGAACGCUGGCGGCGUGCCCAAUACAUGCCAGUUGAGCGCUGAAGGUUGGUACUUGUACCGACUGGAUGAGCAGCGAACGGGUGAGUAACGCGUGGGGAAUCUGCCUUUGAGCGGGGGACAACAUUUGGAAACGAAUGCUAAUACCGCAUAAAAACUUUAAACACAAGUUUUAAGUUUGAAAGAUGCAAUUGCAUCACUCAAAGAUGAUCCCGCGUUGUAUUAGCUAGUUGGUGAGGUAAAGGCUCACCAAGGCGAUGAUACAUAGCCGACCUGAGAGGGUGAUCGGCCACAUUGGGACUGAGACACGGCCCAAACUCCUACGGGAGGCAGCAGUAGGGAAUCUUCGGCAAUGGACGAAAGUCUGACCGAGCAACGCCGCGUGAGUGAAGAAGGUUUUCGGAUCGUAAAACUCUGUUGGUAGAGAAGAACGUUGGUGAGAGUGGAAAGCUCAUCAAGUGACGGUAACUACCCAGAAAGGGACGGCUAACUACGUG
rnacentral:rRNA from 1 species